rnacentral:rRNA from 1 species
GCGGCCAACUGGUCCUGACCUGACGCUGAGGCGCGAAAGCGUGGGGAGCGAACCGGAUUAGAUACCCGGGUAGUCCAGGCCGUACACGAUGUCGGCUCGGUGUGUGGUGAUGGAAACACCAUCGCUGCGUGCCUAAGCUCACGCGGUAAGCCGACCGCCUGGGGACUACGAGCGCAAGCUUAUAACUCAAAGGAAUUGACGGGGGCCCGCACAAGCAGCGGAGCGUGUGGUUUAAUUCGACGCAACGCGAAGAACCUUACCCAGGCUUGACAUGGUCCUGCAAGCGCACGGAAACGUGUGACCUUCGAGGGUGGACCACAGGUGCUGCAUGGCUGUCGUCAGCUCGUGUCGUGAGAUGCUGGGUUAAGUCCCGCAACGAGCGCAACCCUCGCUGCCAGUUACCAGUGUCUGGCGGGACAGCCGCCUUGAUGGGCGGAGGAAGGCGGGGAUGACGUCAAGUCCGCAUGGCCCUGACGCCUGGGGCGACACACACGCUACAAUGGCCGGCACAAUGCGCUGCAAGACCGUAAGGUGGAGCUAAUCGCCAAAGCCGGUCCCAGU